CAUUAUACUCUACAGCAGUUAGACGUUAUGAAGGUCUUUAUAUAAACAAUUAUUGUCCCGAAUUAUCCAUAGAUCUAUAAAACUAGUUUUAUUAAUGUUGUGAUCCAUAGUGAAUGUUAAAGUUGAUCAGGUACUGACAGCUUUAUACACAAAUAAUAUCAUUUCUAAAUUAUGAUGAUGUUACAACAGAACUGUUCUGUUUGUCAAAUUUCACGUUUUGAUCAGAUUAGAUGGAAUAAUAUCCUGAGGAUAUUUUUAGAUGACCAUUUUAUUACAUGUGGCCAAAUCAAUAGGUUAAAACCCGAACCAGGUAGAAGAAGGUAAUGAAACAGAGACAUAGAGUGCUCUAGACCUGCUGUAAUAACUGGUCAAAGGCGGUUGGAUCCAUGUGCGACAGGGUUUAAUCGUGGUCAGGCAGGCAGGGUCAAUAAAGGAAUAAACAGGGCAAUACAGGAGAUCCAGAAGACGAAACGAUAACAGGCAAUAGGUCGAUAGGUAGGCAGAGAACAAUCACAGAAACGAACACGGUCAGGGUCGGCAACAGAUAAUCAAAACAAGAGUAAACGCCGGAAUUGCAGUAUACACAAACAACACUUCGCAAAGUGUGAUCGUGGGGAAGUUCCUUAUAAAGGCUGAGUCUAACGAGAAACACCUGGUGGCUCUAAUCAGCCCAAGGCACGGGGUUGUGGGAAAUUGAGUCUUUGGCGAUCAGUAUUCCGGUGAGAGCUCCCUCCGGUGGUGGUCGGAGAGAGCCACAGAGGUGCUGUUCAUGACACCUGCAGUCUUCUGUUUGUGUUCGAUCUGUCUACAAGUUUGUCUCAGAGUACAUGCAGAUUCAGUGAACCAGGUAGAGAUACAGACAUAUGAUUUUCAAGAUUUCUUUAAGAGGAAAUAGAAUUCAUGAUGUCAGCACAAAUAGAAAUAAACCAAUUAAGAUGUGCAUCAGUGUCUAGAUUAGAGUUAAACUCCAAUGAGUUACAGACUUCAAGACAGACUACAGAAAAUUCUUCAUAAGAAGACUAAGAGCUGAGUCAAACAUUCAGCGGUGGAUUUCUGAGGAUUCAGCUGAAAGAGGAACAGUAUAAAGAACUGACAGAAAAAACAUGCUCUACUGAUUUCAGUGUUUGAAAUAGAAAAAAACAGGGAUUAAAAGCAAAAAUCAAAUCUAGGGUAUGACUAUAGAUGUGUGUUGGACCAGAAAAUAAAAAGUAAAAAG